ACGGCUCAGUAACACGUAGUCAACCUAACUCGUGGACGUGGACAACCUCGGGAAACCGAGAAUAAACCACGAUAGAUCAUAGUGCCUGGAAUGGCUUAUGGUCCAAACAGUUUACUGCCAUGGGAUGGGACUGCGGCCUAUCAGCUUGUUGGUGAGGUAAUGGCCCACCAAGGCGAUUACAGGUACGGGCUCUGAGAGGAGAAGCCCGGAGAUGGGUACUGAGACACGGACCCAGGCCCUAUGGGGCGCAGCAGGCGAGAAACCUUAGCAAUGUGCGAAAGCACGACUGGGUCAGUCCGAGUGAUUCCUGAUAAAGGAGUCUUUUGCUUGUCCUAAAAGCACAGGUGAAUAAGGGGUGGGCAAGUCUGGUGUCAGCCGCCGCGGUAAUACCAGCACCUCGAGUGGUCAGGACGUUUAUUGGGCCUAAAGCAUCCGUAGCUGGCUUUGCAAGUCUCCGGUUAAAUCAACCUGCUUAACAGAUUGGCCGCUGGAGAUACUACAAAGCUAGGGAGUGGGAGAGGCAGACGGUAUUCGGGGGUAGGGGUAAAAUCCUCUGAUCCUCUGAGGACCACCAGUGGCGAAGGCGGUCUGCCAGAACACGUUCGACAGUGAGGGAUGAAAGCUGGGGGAGCAAACCGGAUUAGAUACCCGGGUAGUCCCAGCUGUAAACGAUGCAGACUCGGUGAAGCGUUGGCUUCAUGCCAACGCUGUGCCGCAGGGAAGCCGUUAAGUCUGCCGCCUGGGAAGUACGGUCGCAAGAUUGAAACUUAAAGGAAUUGGCGGGGGAGCGCCACAAGGGGUGAAGCCUGCGGUUCAAUUGGAUUCAACGCCGGGA
rnacentral:rRNA from 1 species